rnacentral:misc_RNA from 1 species
AGAGAGAGAGAGAGAGAUGAUAAAUCAAGCCUGGUCCCUAAAACCCGUGAGACCCAUAAACCCUUUUGGCUGCAUCAUUUCUGGUUCAAUCACCUUACCAAGUAAAAGACAAUACUUCGUCUUGCUUUCGAAUGAGACAACUCGAAACUGGCAUACACCUCAAUCUCAUCCUUUGCCCUGUAGUAUUGCCAUCUUAUCCCUGCUUAGCCAGAAACUCUUAAAACUUAGUAGAGAAAAUAAAAAUUCUAAAACUAUAUCUAUUUUUAAUUGUGGUCACUUAUUUUAAAUUUCUUAAUAGUCAUGAAUUUUAACAUCAAUGAAAAUUAUAGAAUGCAUAUACAUAAACUCUCGCUAAUUCAACCACUUGCACACACACACACACUUUUAGAAGAAAUUUAAGACAAAAUGAAAAAAACAAAAAAAGGCCAUUAACCUUUUUAAAAUCCCAGGCACAUAAGCGUGCAGUAUUGAUCAACAGGCAAUGAAAAUUUUGCUUGCAUGAUCACGUAUUUGAGGAACUAUCAGCUUAUAUUAUACCCAAAAAAAAAAAAGCAAUUUGUGCCCCCUCUCCUCUGUAUAUAUUCAAUAGACAGCGUUAAUCAUAAUAACUUGUUUUGUGAAUGAACAAUAAAACAUCUCCCCUUACCACUUACCCAGUUGCCAGCGUUCCAUUGAUAAGAGGGAGUGCAGAUGGGGAUAAAAGUGGUGUUGGGAGAAAAUUACAUAAUUAAAUGCAAAUAACAGGUGAAGCAUUAUUCUACUUCAUCUACCUAAUUCUCAUCUUUCAGUUAUCCAGAACUUACAGCCUCAUUUUGGUCGCCUUCGGUAAGGGUACAAAAUAUCAUCCAGGUUCUCUUUAAUGUAAUUCCCCAUUCUCCGCAUGUUCUUGGCCACCCCGGAUGCAACCAGGUUCGCAUUCCUUGUAUACCUGCUAAGGAAGUCAUCUCCUGCAGCAUGGACUGGUUUAGGCGUUUGAGGCUGAUGAAUUUCAAGGCCAUCUUCUCUACCAUGAACAUGAGCCGGAGCAGAUGCAUUAUCAGAAGUAACAACUCUUCUAUCCACUAGAAGCUGCAGAAACUCAUGUCAGUCAGAUUACAACUUUUUGUUAUUAAGAAACCAGGGAUAAAAUAGAAGACAAUAGCCAACAUGUCACUUGCCAGAGUUAACUUAAGAAUGAAGUUGCACCCUAAAGAAACCCUCAAAUUGCAACAAAAAUUUACAAACUCUAUAUGUCCAAAUCAUAACACCAUCUAUUAGAAGAAUAUAAUCACAUACAUCGCUUAUAGCCUUAGAAAAAUGCAGUUAAUAAUUUAAAUCAAAUACACCCAAUCAAUCCCCAGUCCCCACCUUACUCCAACCAACCACCAAGGGGAAGAAUGUCAAGUUCCUGAUAAAUGAUAAUAACAGGAAUAAUGGCAGCACCAAAGAAACAUAAAACUAUAAAUGACAAUAGGAGUGUAAGCAAAGUAGCUUAGUGGAGUUCAUGAACAGGCAAUAUAAAAGCUUACUUACAUUCAUUUAUAAACUCAAAUAAACAAGUUUACAAAAAGUUUGGGCUCAUUAAAUGAAUAGACAUAGAUAUAGGUGAGCUUGGAUUGAUUAUGUCCAUGUACAGGCUCACUUAUGUUUGUUUAGCUACACAUUUAAAACUUCAUGGUAAUCAAGUUUAAACUAUCGAAAAUUGUUAGCAUGCAAUAAAUUUAGUAGAAAGUUAUCAUUGAGUUAUAUUAAGUUACUAGAUUUUCAAAAUAAUAUGUCAUAUGAAUAAAAUAAAUUUUUAUGAUACAAAAUAUUUAAUUUAAAAAUACAGGUAAAUGAACAAGGAAAAAAGUAAAACUUUGUACUAUACGUUGACCAUAACUAAAAUGAGAAAAGCGUUGCUUCCUCUUAUUCAGAGGCCUCCUCCAUUUGCAAAUUGAGGCCAUAGACUUUUGAAAGUGAACACACUCAUACAGGGAAUUGCUAGUUUCAUAUUUAUUAAUAUCAAAAAUUGUACAAGAGAUAAUAACCAUUUUUGAAACAGGUAUUUGUUAAGGUUUAGACUCUAUUGGAAUAUUGCACUCGAUAACUUUUUAAUCAAACAAGCUUCAACAUUAAAAUUUGAGCUCAGUCAAAGCUUGAGAUUGCCUAAAGUUAAGUGAACCAAGUACAAACAUCUUGAUACCUGGUUUAGCUCAACUCAUUUACACCCUAGGUGACAAGCUGGUGCACUAUGUCCAUCAAACCAAGCAACGUUAGUAAAAACGUAAAAGCAUAUAUACACUACUAUAAAUCGAACCAUAAAUACUAAAAAGAAAAAAAGCACAUGCACACAUUGUGGACAUACAGAGAGAGUUGAAAAAGAUAAACCUCAAGGCCCACACAGACUGGCAGUUGUGUUUUUGCCGCUUGCUUUUGCUUAUCAGUAGAAUGAUCUUUGCUGACAUACACUGAAUACCCAAUGCAACCAUAAUAAAAAUCUGUAAGAGUCCGGCCUUCUUUAGAAGCUUUAUCCUCAGAUUGUCCAACAAUAUAAUUGGGAACUUGUUGGAGGGUACGAGGGAUGCCGAUGCAGCGAGGAUUGGUGUCGUUGGAUUUGAGAGUGGAAGAGUAAUAGAGAUAUCCUUUGCAUGAUUUACCUUUGGAACCUCCUUCUCCUCCAGCUUCUAUUUGAUUUUGGUUUUUUUCCGCUUUCUCGUCUCUUCCUCCUACUUGUUUAUUCCCAUCCAUGCCAGCCUUCUAAACCUCCCUCUCUCUCUCCCCUUGUAUAGCGCAAGAGGGCGCAAUGGUCUCUCUCUCUCUCUCUCU